rnacentral:rRNA from 1 species
AUGCAAGUCGAGCGGUAACAUUUCUAGCUUGCUAGAAGAUGACGAGCGGCGGACGGGUGAGUAACGCGUAGGAAUCUGCCUAGUAGUGGGGGACAACAUGUGGAAACGCAUGCUAAUACCGCAUACGCCCUACGGGGGAAAGGAGGGGAUCUUCGGACCUUUCGCUAUUAGAUGAGCCUGCGUGAGAUUAGCUAGUUGGUGGGGUAAAGGCCUACCAAGGCGACGAUCUCUAGCUGGUCUGAGAGGAUGAUCAGCCACACUGGGACUGAGACACGGCCCAGACUCCUACGGGAGGCAGCAGUGGGGAAUAUUGGACAAUGGGCGCAAGCCUGAUCCAGCCAUGCCGCGUGUGUGAAGAAGGCCUUAGGGUUGUAAAGCACUUUCAGGAGUGAGGAAGGGCGUAUAGUUAAUACCUGUAUGUNUUGACGUUAACUCCAGAAGAAGCACCGGCUAACUCUGUGCCAGCAGCCGCGGUAAUACAGAGGGUGCGAGC